UCUCCGUUGGUGAACCAGCGGAGGGAUCAUUACCGAGUUUACAACUCCCAAACCCAAUGUGAACGUUACCAAACUGUUGCCUCGGCGGGGUCACGCCCCGGGUGCGUAAAAGCCCCGGAACCAGGCGCCCGCCGGAGGAACCAACCAAACUCUUUCUGUAGUCCCCUCGCGGACGUUAUUUCUUACAGCUCUGAGCAAAAAUUCAAAAUGAAUCAAAACUUUCAACAACGGAUCUCUUGGUUCUG
rnacentral:misc_RNA from 1 species